rnacentral:rRNA from 1 species
UACAGAGGUCUCAAGCGUUGUUCGGAUUCAUUGGGCGUAAAGGGUGCGUAGGUGGCGCGCUAAGUCAGGUGUGAAAUCUCGGGGCUUAACUCCGAAACUGCAUUUGAUACUGGCGUGCUCGAGGACUGGAGAGGAGACUGGAAUUCAUGGUGUAGCAGUGAAAUGCGUAGAGAUCAUGAGGAAGACCAGUGGCGAAGGCGGGUCUCUGGACAGUUCCUGACACUGAGGCACGAAGGCCAGGGGAGCAAACGGG